UACGGAGGGUGCGAGCGUUGUCCGGAAUCAUUGGGCGGAAAGGGCGCGUAGGUGGCCCGGCCAGUUCGUGGUGAAAGCGCGGGGCUCAACCCUGCGUCGGCCAUGAAUACUGCCGCGGCUGGAGCACUGUAGAGGCAGGCGGAAUUCCGGGUGUAGCGGUGGAAUGCGUAGAGAUCCGGAAGAACACCGGUGGCGAAGGCGGCCUGCUGGGCAGUUGCUGACACUGAGGCGCGACAGCGUGGGGAGCAAACAGG
rnacentral:rRNA from 1 species